rnacentral:rRNA from 1 species
GAUGAACGCUGGCGGCGUGCUUAACACAUGCAAGUCGAACGAAGCACUUAAGAUUGAUUCUUCGGAUGACGUCUUUUGUGACUUAGUGGCGGACGGGUGAGUAACGCGUGGGUCACCUGCCUCACACAGGGGGAUAACAGUUAGAAAUGACUGCUAAUACCGCAUAACCCGAUAGGAUCGCAUGAUCCAGACGGAAAAGAUUUAUCGGUGUGAGAUGGACCCGCGUCUGAUUAGCUAGUUGGUGAGGUAACGGCCCACCAAGGCGACGAUCAGUAGCCGGCCGGAGAGGGUGAACGGCCACAUUGGGACUGAGACACGGCCCAAACUCCUACGGGAAGCAGCAGUGGGGAAUAUUGCACAAUGGGAGAAACCCUGAUGCAGCGACGCCGCGUGAAUGAAGAAGUAUUUCGGUAUGUAAAGCUCUAUCAGCAGGGAAGAAAAUGACGGUACCUGACUAAGAAGCCCCGGCUAACUACGUG